CCUACGGGUGGCAGCAGUGAGGAAUAUUGGUCAAUGGGCGCGAGCCUGAACCAGCCAAGUCGCGUGAGGGAUGACGGUCCUAUGGAUUGUAAACCUCUUUUGCCGGGGAGCAAAAUACCGCACGCGUGCGGUUCCGAGAGUACCCGAAGAACAAGCAUCGGCUAACUCCGUGCCAGCAGCCGCGGUAAUACGGAGGAUGCGAGCGUUAUCCGGAUUUAUUGGGUUUAAAGGGUGCGUAGGCGGACGCUUAAGUCAGCGGUAAAAUUGCGGGGCUCAACCUCUUCGAGCCGUUGAAACUGGUUGCCUUGAGUGAGUGAGAAGUAUGCGGAAUGCGUGGUGUAGCGGUGAAAUGCAUAGAUAUCACGCAGAACUCCGAUUGCGAAGGCAGCAUACCGGCGCUCAACUGACGCUGAAGCACGAAGGUGUGGGUAUCGAACAGGAUUAGAUACCCUAGUAGUC
rnacentral:rRNA from 1 species